GAUGAACGCUGGCGGCGUGCUUAACACAUGCAAGUCGAACGAAGCACCUUAUUCUGAUUUCUUCGGAAUGAAAAAUUUGGUGACUGAGUGGCGGACGGGUGAGUAACGCGUGGGUAACCUGCCUCAUACAGGGGGAUAACAGUUAGAAAUGACUGCUAAUACCGCAUAAGACCACAGCACCGCAUGGUGCAGGGGUAAAAACUCCGGUGGUAUGAGAUGGACCCGCGUCUGAUUAGGUAGUUGGUGGGGUAACGGCCUACCAAGCCGACGAUCAGUAGCCGAACUGAGGGGGUGACCGGCCACAUUGGGACUGAGACACGGCCCAAACUCCUACGGGAGGCAGCAGUGGGGAAUAUUGCACAAUGGGGGAAACCCUGAUGCAGCGACGCCGCGUGAGCGAUGAAGUAUUUCGGUAUGUAAAGCUCUAUCAGCAGGGAAGAAAAUGACGGUACCUGACUAAGAAGCACCGGCUAAAUACGUGCCAGCAGCCGCCGUAA
rnacentral:rRNA from 1 species